CUAAUCUGACAGAUCAGAAAAUCACUCAUAUUUUUUGGUUCUUUUUGAACCUGUUAUAUAGGACUUUUUUGACAGCGUUUCCAGUAUUUUGUCAAUUAUGUAUGAGAACCUGUGUGUUUUUCUUUGUGCUGAAGGAAAAAGAAGACAGUUCAGGGAAGAAGCAGGGGGAACAAAUCAAUGCAGUGUCCCAACAGGGAGCCAUGAAGAAACAGAGCUUACAGAUGGAUGCUGGGUGUGAAUGAACUGGCAGGAGCAGCAGCAGCAGUGAAUGAGCAGCACGUUUGACAGCUUAAACAGACCGCCCAAAAUGAGAUGGCGAUUACACAAGUUUUUAUGCUACAGGUUUUAUGCUGGACACCCUUCCUGAGGCACCUGUCCCAUUUGAUCCAGGAUUGGGUUCGACACUAAAGCUCCUCCAGGCUCACCUGAAUAUACACAACCAGUCUUUUUUUUAUAGUAUAUGCAGCUAAUGUAUCAUGCCGGGAGAAUCCAUGUCAUAAUAUAUGAACAAAUAAUAAUAAUAAUUUUUAGGCUACUUAUAAAGUACUACUAUAGAAUGAUAACACUGGGCAACUAUUUUUACUAUUGUGUAUUACUUCCUUAAUCAGGUGCAUAUUACAGUGCAUGGUCAAAUGCCCAGAGCAUAAUUUGCACCAUUGCACUGGGUGACAUGCUUCUUCUUUACCAGCUCUCUACUUUUUUUUAUAUUUCAUUAGCUUAUCGCAUGGAAAUCUCACACAUGUGGAGUUGAGUCUUGCUUUAUCUCAGAUGUUCUUGCAAUCAGCUCGUGACCAUAGGUGAGGGUUGGAGUGUAG